GGGUCCCAGUGCCCUGGGCCAGCGGGGCGGGAAGAGCGCGGCGCUGGGAAGGAGGAGCAGCGGUGAGUGGCGCGCGCCCAGACCGGCUGAGGCGGAGCUGAGCGAAGCGGAGCUGGUGCGAGGCAGGCGCGGGCACCUUGAGGACAAGGAGGCAGAAGCCAGGGCGGCUUGGGCUUUGGGGCCGGAGGACCAAAAGGGGACUCGACGCUGCAUGGGCCGGGAAUCGAACCCGGGCCUCCCGCGUGGCAGGCGAGAAUUCUACCACUGAACCACCCAUGCGCCGGCGAUGGCAGCUCCCACGGGAGGGGGGCUGUCACUGGGGCGCCCAGCCUCCGCCGCCGCCGCCCAACCCUGCUGGCCGCCCGUCCCGGACACCUGUCCUACCGGAGGUUGUGCCGAGGGCACGAUGAGGCAAAGGACCCCACAGGGUCUCGCUGUGCAGUUCAUGCUGACCUCGAAUUUGUGGCGAUCCUGCCGCCUCAGCCUCCCGAGCGGUGCGAUUGCGGGCGGGCAUCACCACGCCCAGCUUCUGAAGGGAGAAUUGAAGCCCCAUGGCGAGAGCCAAGAGAGACUUCAAUCAAGCAGAAGGACGUGGC
rnacentral:tRNA from 1 species